rnacentral:rRNA from 1 species
UACGUAGGGUCCGAGCGUUGUCCGGAAUUAUUGGGCGUAAAGGGCUCGUAGGCGGUCUGUCGCGUCUGCUGUGAAAACUCAGGGCUUAACCCUGAGCUUGCAGUGGGUACGGGCAGACUAGAGUGCGGUAGGGGAGACUGGAAUUCCUGGUGUAGCGGUGAAAUGCGCAGAUAUCAGGAGGAACACCGGUGGCGAAGGCGGGUCUCUGGGCCGUAACUGACGCUGAGGAGCGAAAGCAUGGGGAGCGAACAGG